UGUAAGCGUAUACCAAAGUUGUUGCAGUUAAAACGCUCGUAGUCGGAAUUUGGCUGUUCCGGAUGUGUGCACGUCGUGUGCGCACUUCGCGGGGAUUGCUUUUGUGGUCUUGCGUAGGAUGAGGCACUUUUAUUAGUGAACGUCCUCACGCAACCACUUUUUACUGUGAGAAAAUCAGAGUGCUCAAAGCAGGCAUUUGCCGUGAAUGUAUUAGCAUGGAAUAAUAGAAUAGGACUCGGUUCUAUUUUGUUGGUUUGUUGGGACUGAGUAAUGAUUAAGAGGGACAGUUGGGGGCAUUUGUAUUUCGGCGCUAGAGGUGAAAUUCUUAGAUUGCCGAAAGACAAACUGCUGCGAAAGCGUCUGCCAAGGAUGUUUUCAUUGA
rnacentral:rRNA from 1 species